rnacentral:rRNA from 1 species
UACGAAGGGGGCUAGCGUUGCUCGGAAUCACUGGGCGUAAAGCGCACGUAGGCGGAUUUUUAAGUCAGGGGUGAAAUCCCGAGGCUCAACCUCGGAACUGCCUUUGAUACUGGAGAUCUUGAGUCCGGAAGAGGUAAGUGGAACUGCGAGUGUAGAGGUGAAAUUCGUAGAUAAUUCGCAAGAACACCAGUGGCGAAGGCGGCUUACUGGUCCGGAACUGACGCUGAGGGUGCGAAAGCGUGGGGAGCAAAACAGG